UACGAAGGGGGCUAGCGUUGUUCGGAUUUACUGGGCGUAAAGCGCACGUAGGCGGAUCGAUCAGUCAGGGGUGAAAUCCCAGAGCUCAACUCUGGAACUGUCUUUGAUACUGUCGAUCUGGAGUAUGGAAGAGGUGAGUGGAAUUCCGAGUGUAGAGGUGAAAUUCGUAGAUAUUCGGAGGAACACCAGUGGCGAAGGCGGCUCACUGGUCCAUUACUGACGCUGAGGUGCGAAACGCGUGGGGAGCAAACAGGAU
rnacentral:rRNA from 1 species